GAUGAACGCUGGCGGCGUGCCUAACACAUGCAAGUCGAGCGAGGGUUGCUCAGUAUUGAGUAUUCUAAGACUAGAAUGUUCAAUUCUGAGCAAAACCAAGCGGCGGACGGGUGAGUAACGCGUGGGUAACCUGCCCUAUACACAUGGAUAACAUACUGAAAAGUUUACUAAUACAUGAUAAUAUAUAUUUGUGGCAUCGCAGAUAUAUCAAAGUGUCAGCGGUAUAGGAUGGACCCGCGUCUGAUUAGCUAGUUGGUGAGAUAACUGCCCACCAAGGCGACGAUCAGUAGCCGACCUGAGAGGGUGAUCGGCCACAUUGGAACUGAGACACGGUCCAAACUCCUACGGGAGGCAGCAGUGGGGAAUAUUGCACAAUGGGCGAAAGCCUGAUGCAGCAACGCCGCGUGAACGAUGAAGGUCUUCGGAUCGUAAAGUUCUGUUGCAGGGGAAGAUAAUGACGGUACCCUGUGAGGAAGCCCCGGCUAACUACGUGCCAGCAGCCGCGGUAAUACGUAGGGGGCUAGCGUUAUCCGGAUUUACUGGGCGUAAAGGGUGCGUAGGUGGUCCUUCAAGUCGGUGGUUAAAGGCUACGGCUCAACCGUAGUAAGCCGCCGAAACUGGAGGACUUGAGUGCAGGAGAGGAAAGUGGAAUUCCCAGUGUAGCGGUGAAAUGCGUAGAUAUUGGGAGGAACACCAGUAGCGAAGGCGGCUUUCUGGACUGCAACUGACACUGAGGCACGAAAGCGUGGGUAGCAAACAGG
rnacentral:rRNA from 1 species